rnacentral:rRNA from 1 species
GUUUGAUCCUGGCUCAGAUUGAACGCUGGCGGCAGGCCUAACACAUGCAAGUCGAGCGGCAGCACGGGAAGCUUGCUUCCUGGUGGCGAGCGGCGGACGGGUGAGUAAUGCAUAGGAAUCUGCCCGGUAGUGGGGGAUAACCUGGGGAAACCCAGGCUAAUACCGCAUACGCCCUACGGGGGAAAGCAGGGGCUCUUCGGACCUUGCGCUAUCGGAUGAGCCUAUGUCGGAUUAGCUGGUUGGUGAGGUAAUGGCUCACCAAGGCGACGAUCCGUAGCUGGUCUGAGAGGAUGAUCAGCCACAUCGGGACUGAGACACGGCCCGAACUCCUACGGGAGGCAGCAGUGGGGAAUAUUGGACAAUGGGCGCAAGCCUGAUCCAGCCAUGCCGCGUGUGUGAAGAAGGCCCUCGGGUUGUAAAGCACUUUCAGUGGGGAAGAACGCCUUCCGGCUAAUACCCGGGAGGAAAGACAUCACCCACAGAAGAAGCACCGGCUAACUCCGUGCCAGCAGCCGCGGUAAUACGGAGGGUGCGAGCGUUAAUCGGAAUUACUGGGCGUAAAGCGCGCGUAGGUGGCUUGAUAAGCCGGUUGUGAAAGCCCCGGGCUCAACCUGGGAACGGCAUCCGGAACUGUCAGGCUAGAGUGCAGGAGAGGAAGGUAGAAUUCCCGGUGUAGCGGUGAAAUGCGUAGAGAUCGGGAGGAAUACCAGUGGCGAAGGCGGCCUUCUGGACUGACACUGACACUGAGGUGCGAAAGCGUGGGUAGCAAACAGGAUUAGAUACCCUGGUAGUCCACGCCGUAAACGAUGUCGACUAGCCGUUGGGUCCUUCGCGGACUUUGUGGCGCAGUUAACGCGAUAAGUCGACCGCCUGGGGAGUACGGCCGCAAGGUUAAAACUCAAAUGAAUUGACGGGGGCCCGCACAAGCGGUGGAGCAUGUGGUUUAAUUCGAUGCAACGCGAAGAACCUUACCUACCCUUGACAUCCUGCGAACCCUUCGGAGACGAAGGGGUGCCUUCGGGAACGCAGAGACAGGUGCUGCAUGGCUGUCGUCAGCUCGUGUUGUGAAAUGUUGGGUUAAGUCCCGCAACGAGCGCAACCCUUGUCACUAGUUGCCAUCAUUUAGUUGGGCACUCUAGUGAGACUGCCGGUGACAAACCGGAGGAAGGUGGGGAUGACGUCAAGUCCUCAUGGCCCUUAUGGGUAGGGCUUCACACGUCAUACAAUGGUCGGUACAGAGGGUUGCCAAGCCGCGAGGUGGAGCCAAUCCCUUAAAGCCGAUCGUAGUCCGGAUCGUAGUCUGCAACUCGACUACGUGAAGUCGGAAUCGCUAGUAAUCGCAGAUCAGCAUGCUGCGGUGAAUACGUUCCCGGGCCUUGUACACACCGCCC